UUAAUGAAAGAGAUAUCUCUUUUCCAAUCACCCUUAAAAUAAAAUAACUAAUUCUCCCGUUAAAAACGAAAGCGAAACAGGAAGUAAUGUCUGUUAAGUCGUUCGUUUUCUGGUUAUGGAAAAGAAGAGGAUAAAAUGGACUGAUUGAUACAGAGAUCCAGGAGGUACUGAAAAAGGGACAAUGCUUCGACUGAAUGUGUCAUCCAUGUACCAGUAUAGACCUGUUAAUGAGGCAUAUCCAAUAAUUCUUAUACUCAUGAAGAGUGCGGCAACUCCCAAGUAGUUAAGGAUGGCACGCAUUUUAAAUCAGAUCCUCACUUCUAGGAUGUUUUCCAUGUUCUUGUGAAAAGUGUUUUACAUGGCACCAUUCAGCUACAAAUACUUUGCUGGUGGAACUGUGACAUCAAUCAACUGCUCAUGCCACUGCUAAUUGGCAGAAUUUCCU